UAGAUUGAAGCUCGCUGGAUGGAGCAUUUAGCUGUUAACUAAAAGGUUGUGGGAUAAAAGCCCAUCAGUCUAG
rnacentral:tRNA from 1 species